GCCUACGGGGCGCAGCAGUGAGGAAUAUUGAUCAAUGGUCGGGAGACUGAACCAGCCAAGCCGCGUGAGGGAGGAAGGUACAGAGUAUCGUAAACCUCUUUUGUCAGGGAACAAAGGCGGGGACGUGUCCCCGGAUGAGUGUACCUGAAGAAAAAGCAUCGGCUAACUCCGUGCCAGCAGCCGCGGUAAUACGGAGGAUGCGAGCGUUAUCCGGAUUUAUUGGGUUAAAGGGUGCGCAGGCGGUCUGUUAAGUCAGCGGUCAAAGCCCGGGGCUCAACCCCGGCCCGCCGUUGAAACUGGCAGUC
rnacentral:rRNA from 1 species